rnacentral:rRNA from 1 species
UACGUAGGGUGCAAGCGUUAAUCGGAAUUACUGGGCGUAAAGGGCUCGUAGGCGGCCAACUAAGUCAGACGUGAAAUCCCCAGGCUUAACCUGGGAACUGCGUCUGAUACUGGAUGGCUUGAAUUCGGGAGAGGGAUGCAGAAUUCCAGGUGUAGCGGUGAAAUGCGUAGAUAUCUGGAGGAAUACCGGUGGCGAAGGCGGCAUCCUGGACCGAUAUUGACACUGAUGAGCGAAAGCUAGGGGAGCAAACGGG